rnacentral:rRNA from 1 species
CCUACGGGAGGCAGCAGUAGGGAAUCUUCCACAAUGGGCGAAAGCCUGAUGGAGCAACGCCGCGUGGGUGAAGAAGGUCUUCGGAUCGUAAAACUCUGUUGUUAGAGAAGAAAGUGCGUGAGAGUAACUGUUCACGUUUCGACGGUAUCUAACCAGAAAGCCACGGCUAACUACGUGCCAGCAGCCGCGGUAAUACGUAGGUGGCAAGCGUUAUCCGGAUUUAUUGGGCGUAAAGGGAACGCAGGCGGUCUUUUAAGUCUGAUGUGAAAGCCUUCGGCUUAACCGGAGUAGUGCAUUGGAAACUGGGAGACUUGAGUGCAGAAGAGGAAAGUGGAACUCCAGGUGUAGCGGUGAAAUGCGUAGAUAUAUGGAAGAACACCAGUGGCGAAGGCGGCUCUCUGGUCUGUAACUGACGCUGAGGUUCGAAAGCGUGGGUAGCAAACAGGAUUAGAUACCCCGGUAGUC